UUCAGUUGAAAAUAGAACAGAGCACGAAGCACACAUAUAUUUUCUAAACUAUAUUUUUUAUAACAAAUUUUAAAAAGCAAAAAAAAAUUUCGUUUAAGUUAAAAGUGUUAUUAGUGAUUUUACACCGAAUUUCGGGUUUUUUACAUCGUAAACUGUUUAUUUAUUGGAAGCCUUUACUUUCCAAAGGUAUUGUUCGUAUUUGAGCAGCGAAUAAAUUGCCAAAAAGAUGGUUCAAUGCGGCGAAAAUUGGCAAAAAGAUGGUUCUAUAUGUUGAAGAAAUAGAGAAAUAAAGAAUUAAUAAUACAGGGAUUCAGUAAUUAGCAAGAGCAUAUAUGGUUUGAAGCUGUCCAUCUUUCCUAUCAGUGACAUGAAGUUAAUGUUUCAAACAAAUAUAAGUGCUCGAUCCACACUCCCUAGUUGACUGCUGGAGUUAUACCAAAAUCAAAAUUUCUGGUUAUUGUGUGUAUUUUGGAUUUUAGAAUACGAAAUUAAUAAAGUGUACCUUUG